rnacentral:lncRNA from 1 species
GUCUAAAACAUAGUGAAUGCUGAAGAAAAGAGUACAGAAAUAUAAAAACAAUAAUGUCCUGUUAGAUAUAUACAUGUGGCCUACGUAGAUCUGUUAUAUAGAAAGGAGGAAAGUGAUUCAGGUAAAUUGUGCAGUUAAUUCAGAAUAUUAUGAAACUUCAGGGUUUCCCCUGGGUCAAUUAUUUUUUUCGCAACCUCUUUCGCCAAACAAUUUAUUUUUCGCCACUUUAUUAUUUUUUUCGCCAAGUAACAUAACUAUAUUUUUCAUUUAAAAUUUACCUUUUUUUCUUCCCCCCCCCUUUUAAUAAGGUGAUUUUGCCCCAUUGUGUCUAUGAUUAUUCUCUCAAACUUAUUUUAGAGUCUACAUUUAAUGAAUAAACACUAAACAUUUACUUUCUUUUCUUGACCAUCGUAAAUGAAAAAGUUAAGACUUAAACUAUGCUUGAAACACACGUGUCACUCAAACGACUUUAAAGUAGUCUCCCUAAUCAAUUACCUAUAUUAAAGUCAAAGGAUAAUUAAAGUUUUGAAUCAGAGAUUUUUCUUGCUUUUGAAAAUUUUUCGUCACAACAACAGCUUUCUUUAAAAGGAGAGGAGACGUCAGAAGUUUGCUUCAAACACGUGCGUCGCAAAGUCGUAAAUAAAUUCUGUAUGUGACAUUUAGCGGAAGCCAUUUAACCAUAUCAUUUUGUCAAACAAUUCAAUCAACACCUUUAUUAAUUAGUCCUUUGUUGUUGAUAGCUAUAAAAUGCAAUCAGCUGAUUAUUGAUUUUUUUGUCCAAAUCUUAAAGAGGUCAAGGUGAAUUCCGAGUAUUGUCUGAUCGGGUAAAGUCCGAGAAAUUCGAAAAAAGUAAAUAAACAAGAUGGAGGAAAAUAAAUCGUUCUAUAUAUUUGUUUCGUCAAAUUCUUUCGCAAAUGACGAAUUUUUAUCGCCACAAUUAUUAUUUUUUCGCAAAUUGCUAAAAUGGCGACCGCCAGCGGAAACCCUGAACUUUUAAAUUAUAUAAACACAGUCUGCACCAAAAACUUUUUCAACUACUAGUCAGAAGACCAAUAUUCUGACAUUUUUCUUAUUCAACUGGCCCGGUCAAACAAAGUUUUUUAAAAACUUACUAGUCCGAAUGAAAUUUUACUAGUCUGGGGCAUCUGACUAGUGGCUAACCGUGCAGACUGUAAACAGUAUUUAUUUACAUAAAUAAAUAUAUACAUAUAAGCUAUAAUAGGGUUUUCUGUCUAGCAUAAAGCAAUACAUUAUUUCAUAUCCAUGUUGUUGAAAUAUUCAUACACUGUAGCUGUAAACUCAUAGUAGAGAAACUGUAAAUGUGAUGAAUUACUAAAUGUAGUUUAUCAGGCAAUAGACACAAAUCAUAUUAAAUGUGUUGAGUACAUUCACUACAAACUAACAGCUCAGAGUCUGAAAAGUCCAUUUUUUUGCUCAACCAGUAAUGUUGAGUACAGAUUUUAAUUGUCAUGCUUGCCCAAACUUUCAGUGUUUGACCUCUGCGGUCGUAUAAAGUUAAGGUGACUUGUGUUUAAAUGUGUCGAUCUCUCUGAAAUUGUACUGCAAGGUAUCAUAACAGGCAGGAAUUGAGUUUGGGGGUAAUUACUCCAAGGGGGGUUAAAAGAAAAAAAAUUGGGGGGGGGGGGUGUUUUUCUUAAUAAUUUUUGUGUUUUUAUACUGAUAUGGCAGGAGAUACACACCAAACAGGAUGUGUAAAUUAUUAUAUUAAGUAUUGUGCAAUUGCAUAGGACACAAAAUGACUUCAUGCUAUAAUGAAUAUGUCCUAAAAACUUUUCCACUAAUUAGCUUUGUAUGGUACAUGUACCUUUUCUUUUUUAAUUCAUGACAGGGACAUAAAAAUUCAGGGAAAUAUUUAUAUAAACGUGAAACAAACUGAAAUUGAGCUACAUGUAUUUUUUUAUAUUUUCAGUUUGAAGAUCUACCAUUAGUAUUUAUUGAUUCAAGGUCCAGUCAAGUUAUUACUAUCUAUAGGUCAGUGAACAUUACAU